rnacentral:lncRNA from 1 species
AGCUGAGUCCUGAGCAGCAGCCCAGCGCAGCCACCGAGACACCAUGAGAGCCCUCACACUCCUCGCCCUAUUGGCCCUGGCCGCACUUUGCAUCGCUGGCCAGGCAGGUGAGUGCCCCCACCUCCCCUCAGGCCGCAUUGCAGUGGGGGCUGAGAGGAGGAAGCACCAUGGCCCACCUCUUCUCACCCCUUUGGCUGGCAGUCCCUUUGCAGUCUAACCACCUUGUUGCAGGCUCAAUCCAUUUGCCCCAGCUCUGCCCUUGCAGAGGGAGAGGAGGGAAGAGCAAGCUGCCCGAGACGCAGGGGAAGGAGGAUGAGGGCCCUGGGGAUGAGCUGGGGUGAACCAGGCUCCCUUUCCUUUGCAGGUGCGAAGCCCAGCGGUGCAGAGUCCAGCAAAGGUGCAGCCUUUGUGUCCAAGCAGGAGGGCAGCGAGGUAGUGAAGAGACCCAGGCGCUACCUGUAUCAAUGGCUGGGGUGAGAGAAAAGGCAGAGCUGGGCCAAGGCCCUGCCUCUCCGGGAUGGUCUGUGGGGGAGCUGCAGCAGGGAGUGGCCUCUCUGGGUUGUGGUGGGGGUACAGGCAGCCUGCCCUGGUGGGCACCCUGGAGCCCCAUGUGUAGGGAGAGGAGGGAUGGGCAUUUUGCACGGGGGCUGAUGCCACCACGUCGGGUGUCUCAGAGCCCCAGUCCCCUACCCGGAUCCCCUGGAGCCCAGGAGGGAGGUGUGUGAGCUCAAUCCGGACUGUGACGAGUUGGCUGACCACAUCGGCUUUCAGGAGGCCUAUCGGCGCUUCUACGGCCCGGUCUAGGGUGUCGCUCUGCUGGCCUGGCCGGCAACCCCAGUUCUGCUCCUCUCCAGGCACCCUUCUUUCCUCUUCCCCUUGCCCUUGCCCUGACCUCCCAGCCCUAUGGAUGUGGGGUCCCCAUCAUCCCAGC